rnacentral:rRNA from 1 species
UACGUAGGGGGCAAGCGUUGUCCGGAAUCAUUGGGCGUAAUGAGCGUGUAGGCGGCUUGGUAAGUCCGCUGUGAAAGUCCAGGGCUCAACCCUGGAAUGCCGGUGGAAACUGUCAAGCUUGAGUCCGGAAGAGGCGAGUGGAAUUCCUGGUGUAGCGGUGAAAUGCGCAGAUAUCAGGAGGAACACCAAUGGCGAAGGCAGCUCGCUGGGACGGUACUGACGCUGAGACGCGAAAGCGUGGGGAGCAAACAGG